UUUCUUCUAUAUCCGGCUGUUAACCGACUGAACAGUUUACCUUCGUUUGUCUCUUCGAGACGCCGCGCACACACAUACUUGCGUACACACAUACUUGCGUACACUGAUAUUUACAUACAAGUAUUACUACUACGCAUCUGACCUAGUCUAACACAUAAACAUAUACGUAUCUCAGUAGAAUUCAAUGAACGUGAGCUUCUAUUAUGUGAAAGUAUUAUUAUUAGAUAGCGAAGAAAAUUGAUGAACUCCUAUUAUAGGAACUGCAAUUUUACAAACUGUCCCGCUACGACCACUUACUUAACUUCAUAGUUAGGUAUAGUAAUUCAAUUGUAAUCUAAUACUUAUGUAGACUAAUAUAAAUUUAUAUUCAUGUUAAAUCAUCUUAAAUGAAAUUUCAUAUGCAGAAGCGAAGCUAUUUAGUACAAUAAGUAUGGAGGAAGCGAGGCAAAAACUGAGACCCUGGCAGACUUGCUGAGGAGCCAUUGGAAGGGAAAGUGUGUACAAGGAGGUUUGAAGAGCAGGGGAACUCGGAUGAAAGGGUGUGCCGUGGCCUAAUGCGAGCGAACAAACCAUUAAACUACACUCAGCCGCGGAACGUUGUGAUGCUGCAAAAUUGAUUUUUAAGUAGCAACGAGCAAUGAUCUCUGAAAAGCUCUUAAUUCCUCUGGUUCCUAAGUUUUAGGUUAGCCUGCUUGAUUAGAAGGGGAGAAUGAUAGGAGGAAAAAAGUUCCAGCGUCACGGAAGUUCUGUAAGGACAGGAGGAGGGCGAGUGACCGACGAACGAGUUGGAAAAAGUUAGGGGAAUGAACCGAGUGCGCUUUCGGGGAUAACGAAUCGUCGUUCGAACGUUUCUGGAGCACGCUUCGGCUUUAAUUCCAGGGAAUUGCCAAGUUCAUCCAGGCCAAGUAUCGCUAAAGGGCAGGCUCCUCGUCGAAGCUGCUUCUAGGUUUCCAAUCGACGCCUUGAUUUCCUCCGAAACGAUCCGCACGUACGAAAGAAAUUACCAUAAAAAACUUUGCAAUCGAAUUAAAUUUCUCUUCAAAAAAUUUCAAGAUGAGAAGAUUUCCAAUAAGAAAAGAAUUGAUCAAAAAGGUAUAAAUAAUAUAUAAAAUUUAAUUAUCGUUGUAUAGCAAUAUCAAUAUCUUUUGGUUUGAAAUUUGUAAAUUUCCUCGUUUUUUUCUUUGCAGUAUCUGUGCUGUAAUUUAAGCAUAAGUAACGCAUUAAAAAUUGUUCGAACAAUGUUUUUAACCAACCAAAUACGUAAAAGUGAUAAAACACAUAUUAUGAUAUAGAAAGGGGCAAUGAAAUAGUAGUAAAUGUCAUUUCAAGCAAAAUGAGUCAGAGGUAAAUCUAUAGAUGGUACAUUCGAUAUUACUGACAGGCCAUCUAGGUAUAUUUCAUUUUUCAGUGAACUUUUCAGCCGAGUACAAUUCGUAAGAUUAAUGUUCUUUUCAAUUUGAAUAUAUUUUGCACGAUGGAGAAUCACCCAUUGCUGUUUUAAUAAUUCAGCCUUCACCUCCUAGGUUGGCUGACCUUAAAACGUCCAACGUUACUGGCAGCCGUCUGACGCGACACGUUCCGCGACUACUUGUACCGUUCGAUAGAACGUCGACCUCUAUCACUGACAGACUCGUCUAGUAGCGAGGCGUCGCAUUAGUCAGCCAGAAGAGCUGCGAGCAAACGGAAGGAUAAUAAAUACCGCGCGCCACUUGUUGCUCUUAUUUCAGCAGAAUCAAAGAUACCACCAGCUUCUUCAGACUCUAGGAAAUGCUAUAGGAAGGUAUACGUAGCAUUAGAAGAGAAAUAAAGUACUCUCCCGUUUAUAGGCAGCUUUGCCGAAGAAUUUAUUUAUAGAGAUCAACGAUGACGAUUUUUAUAUCAAAUAUAGUACCAUUUUAGACAUGUUAAAUCAAAUCUAUCAUUGUAUAUUAGAUUCAUAACAUAACCUAAAAAUAAUAUUUCGAUCAUAUUUCACGAUCAAAGUUAUGAAAUGUAAAAAUGAUUUCAGAUCAGAUUUAAUUAACAAUUAACACAGGUUUAACAUUUAAUUCAGAUCGAACUUAAGCUAGAACAAACAUCUUGAUCUCGUUCACCAUCUUAACCAAAUCAGAUUCGAACUCAAAUCUAACCUAAGCAUAGUUCAAACUUAACCUAGAUAUAUACGGUAUCCUGGUAUGUCUAAGAUCAUAAUCCAAACUCAAAUCCAAAUCCAAUCUAAGGCAAACUUAACCUGGACAUGGUAUCAUGCCUAUGAUCUAUCUGAGUCGAAUCUAACUUAACCUAGUUUUGCCUGGUCAUGGCUAAAACCUUGUCCCAAACCUAACCUAUAAAUAAUACCUGGUUUAUACUUAGCGGUUGAAUACAGCUAGUCUAGUAACGUAUUUCUGUUUAAUCUAAAUUUGCAAAAUUAUUUCUGAAAAUUUGAAACUUUUUGGAUAAUCUCGGUCAUGGGGAGGAAAUUAGCUGGCGCGAGAUGCGAAUCUUCUGCGAUGGAAUCGAUUACGUAGAUAACGGGGCUCGUUAGCUGUUGCUAAUUCUCAGGGACCGACCGAAACGAGCUCGGCGUUUCGGGACAGACCGGUAAUGGACUCGUCCCGGUGCACUUCCGGUUAUUAUCGGGCUUCCUGCGUGUUCGACGCCAGGAUCGCGGUUAUCUCGAUUUCUGCAAUUGUCGAUACCUCUUCUCCAUCCCUUAUCUUCCAUUACUUCAGAGGAUUCUGGAUUUUAGUGCUCGCUUAAUCCACCAACUCAGCUCUUCCAUGUCACUUUAAUCUCAGCCGUUAACAUCUAUCUUAGUACGCUUCGGUUCCUGUUCGAAUAAUUCUACGAAAUCCUUUUACUUUUAUUCCGUUCUUUCACGGCAGAUUGUUUCUUCGAACCAAUCUAACACUAACACCUCCUACUGGCAAAAUAUCUUUUCUAACCUCAAAAGUAUAUCGAGCUUCCUAUAAUAUUUUAAUUAUUACUAAUAUUUAAUAACCUAAUCAUAUGCCUGAAUCUGAAAGUAAUAAAUUAUAGCUGACACGAACCUAAAAGUUUCGAAACAUUAAACUGUUUAAAUCUAUUUUUCAAAGUAAAAGCUUUGACCUGAUUGGGAUAAACUGCCGUCAGGGAAUUGGUUAUCUGAAACGGAUAAUUAAUUUGCCGCUCAACGACGGCUAUAGCUCGCGAUUUCCUCUGCUAAACAAUGGGGUGGUUUAUUAUCGUUGGCCGGCGCUAUUGUCCCCUUACGUGGGCUUCGAUAAAUCAAUCGUUCUAUUGAUCGAACAGGUGCGAUCGGAAUUAGACGCGUUCGUGAUCGUAAAUUACGCUUAUCCGUUUACGAUCCGUGACGCUUGGAUUUGUCGUUGCGAGAUGCAUAAUUUUGCCUAUGUGCGCCACCUACCGUGAAAACCUAACCUCAAACCGAUCGUUCCUAUCUCGAUCCUCAUUUCCAACAAUUUCGUAGUCCUGAAAUGACAAUUCAAAUACACCUAACCUACGAACUAACCUGAUUCACCACCUAACCUCCUUUUACCUUCAUUUAAGACGACCACAAUAAACGUUUAAAGAUUGGAACAUGAAAUAACCUAAAAAUUUAUCAUUUAACGACUUUUCUACAGAUCCAAAGGACACUGCAGCGUCGAAAACAUGUUCUCGGUCAGCUUAAAAAUAUUGGGGAUUGACUCACAAAUGAGAAACUUUCUUCAAGCUGCAAAAAGGACUAAAAUAAAGCAUUAGUUAUUUAUUUCUGCCGAUCCGUCAAGUUUCAAAGCGACCACGACAAACGUCAGGUUGUUUUUCGAGCAGAAACAGGAGACAAAGGAACGGGCGCAUUUCGCCUGGCGUGGCACAAAGGAAUCCACGCGACACUUUACUUCUCCCGGAAGAAAAGCUCGACGAUUACUCCCGCGAAACGCAAUUAAGUGGCGUCCUUGUUUUUUUUUUUUUUCAAAUGUAAUUCCGCCUCUACCUGGUGCCAUUUACGUUCAAAAGUCGCGAUUCGAGAUGUUCAAAGAGGGCUAGUCGCCUGUUUCUGAGACGAUACUUAGAGGGAAAGAGGGGAAAGCUAAUUACGAAACGCUUGGGGAGGUUUCGAAGCGAUUGUAAUAAGCCGUUCUCCUUGGUGGAUGGUUAGGACGACACAAGUAAUCUGAUUAAAAGGGGACCACGGGAUCCGUUUGCAAAAGGCAUGCUUUAGAAGCUGAGAGUGUAUAUUUGGAUGGAGAAAUAAUUUAGACGCGCGCAUGAGUUUGUAAAAACCAGCAAUCACAAAGUGCUAAAUCACACAGUUGCAAGUAAUAACAGUAGUUUCAUUAAAAAAAUGCGGAACCAGUUUAAAAGGAAGGAUCGAUAUUGAAAGUCCUCGAAAAGUGAUCACUGAUGGGUCUACAAGCUUCCUAAUUCAUGUUCAAACCUAAUUCAACCUGAAUAUAACUCAAUAUGAAUUCGAAAAAGGAUCCCAACUAUGAUCCAUCACGUGGACCAUCAAAAGAACCAAUAAAAGAAGAUCAGGAAGAAGAACAUCCAUCAGAACCUUUAAAAACUUAGUCUAAUCGAUCUCACGAACCGCCCAUUAUUCAUUCAAACCAAAUCCAACCUCUCCAAACUUCGAUUCCACAUAAAAUCAAUUAAGAAGAAGAUCUUAUCGCAUAGAACAGCAAUGAAAACGAAGGAAUCAGAGGCU